rnacentral:misc_RNA from 1 species
GAAAUGCGAUAAGUAGUGUGAAUUGCAGAAUUCAGUGAAUCAUCGAAUCUUUGAUCGCACAUUGCGCCCCUUGGUAUUCCAUGGGGCAUGCCUGUUCGAGCGUCAUUUGUACCCUCAAGCUCUGCUUGGUGUUGGGUGUUUGUCCCCGUCUCCGCGCGUGGACUCGCCCCAAAGUGAUUGGCAGCCGGCGUACUGGUCCCGGAGCGCAGCACAUGUCGCGCAAACGAGUGCCUUGGUACGGCGGCGUCCAUAAGCCCCUCUCUCACGCUCUUGACCUUGGAUCAGGUAGGGAUACCCGCUGAACUUAAGC